rnacentral:lncRNA from 1 species
GCCGCGAGAUCGUGACCUGGCUGAAGUCGGACGCUUAACCGACUGCGCCACCCAGGCGCCCCAGUAUUUUAUAGCACUAGUUGGACUUGACUAAUCUAUGCCCACGGGGGGUCCCCAUUAAAUCCCCGCACCUCAGCCCUUCCAGCCAAGAUCUCGAGCAGCUCUCUGUGUUGUAAAAGCAAUGGCAUCCCCCCUCCCCCCGCCAGCUUCUAAAUAUAUUUUAAAGAGUUACAGAAACUGACCAGCGUCCAAAACUUAAACCUUACAGACGUUCACAGACAGGAACAAGGCAGGGCCCCAGAGGAAAACACGGUCGGAGCUGCUCCCCGGGAACAAUAGUUGUUUACGGGUGCAAGCGAGCUGAGCUGCUCUGCUUCUGAUUGGACGGGAACCGACGGCGGGGGCUAGAGAGAUGCACUGUUUUGACGGUCCGGGCCCGGGUCACAUGACAGGUAGAAACUAGAGGGAUCCAUUACACACACAUCCAGAAGAGAAAACUAAGGAAAAACUUCCAGGGGCUUUGGCAAGAUCACACAGCGAGGAAGGGCAAUAGAAGUAACCAUCCCCUCCUAUUUCUGCUUUCUCCCCGUCACCCCUGUGGCAUCGCAGGACAGCAUGUCCACGGAGCAGCUGUUUUGUUGUGAUGACCCUCAAACUGCCAGCAACUGCGGAUAAUUAUAACCACGGAGGAACCACGUUCCCUAAUGCACGGACCAUAAACCCAUCAGUUGUCUGGAGGCCACAGAGGGAUUUAUAAAAGGCCAUUCAUCUAAUUAAUAAUUGGUCUUCUGCCAACUUAAGUGGUUUGGUGCUGUUAACUAGAGAAAACAAAAACACGGGGCUCUUCAGCACUCCCCGCAGCGAAGCCAGGCCUGUUCGAGAGAACCCAGGGGAGGACGUAACCCCACGAGCCGGGCCCCGACGGCCUGCUUCAGACGAGGACGGCUCUGCAGGCCUGGGAACAUCUGGAGUGUGGAGACGAGGCUCAUCUCUCCUGGAGCUGGAAAAACACGCGCAGCUAAGCAGGCUGCCAGGGACCGAGGGGAAGGCUCUAGGCUUCCCAGCUCCCCCUAGCCUCUCGAGG